GGUUAAGUUAUUAAGGGCGCACGGUGGAUGCCUUGGCACUAGGAGCCGAUGAAGGACGGGACUAACACCGAUAUGCUUCGGGGAGCUGUAAGUAAGCUUUGAUCCGGAGAUUUCCGAAUGGGGAAACCCACUGCUCGUAAUGGAGCAGUAUCUUUACCUGAAUACAUAGGGUACUGAAGGCAGACCCGGGGAACUGAAACAUCUUAGUACCCGGAGGAAGAGAAAGCAAAUGCGAUUUCCUGAGUAGCGGCGAGCGAAACGGAAUUAGCCCAAACCAAGAGGCUUGCCUCUUGGGGUUGUAGGACACUCAACAUGGAGUUACAAAGGAACGGGGUAAAUGAAGCGAUCUGGAAAGGUCCGUCAUAGAAGGUAAAAACCCUGUAGUUGAAACUUCGUUCCCUCCUGAGUGGAUCCUGAGUACGGCGGGACACGAGAAAUCCCGUCGGAAGCAGGGAGGACCAUCUCCCAAGGCUAAAUACUCCCUAGUGACCGAUAGUGAACCAGUACCGUGAGGGAAAGGUGAAAAGCACCCCGGAAGGGGAGUGAAAUAGAUCCUGAAACCGUGUGCCUACAAGUAGUUAGAGCCCGUUAAUGGGUGAUAGCGUGCCUUUUGUAGAAUGAACCGGCGAGUUACGAUCCCGUGCAAGGUUAAGUCGAAGAGACGGAGCCGUAGCGAAAGCGAGUCUGAAUAGGGCGAAUGAGUACGUGGUCGUAGACCCGAAACCAGGUGAUCUACCCAUGUCCAGGGUGAAGUUCAGGUAACACUGAAUGGAGGCCCGAACCGACUCACGUUGAAAAGUGAGCGGAUGAGGUGUGGGUAGGGGUGAAAUGCCAAUCGAACCUGGAGAUAGCUGGUUCUCUCCGAAAUAGCUUUAGGGCUAGCCUCAUGAUUAGAGUCUUGGAGGUAGAGCACUGAUUGGACUAGGGGUCCUCAUCGGAUUACCGAAUUCAGUCAAACUCCGAAUGCCAAAGACUUAUUCAUGGGAGUCAGACUGCGAGUGAUAAGAUCCGUAGUCAAGAGGGAAACAGCCCAGACCGCCAGCUAAGGUCCCAAAGUAUACGUUAAGUGGAAAAGGAUGUGGAGUUGCUUAGACAACCAGGAUGUUGGCUUAGAAGCAGCCACCAUUUAAAGAGUGCGUAAUAGCUCACUGGUCGAGUGACUCUGCGCCGAAAAUGUACCGGGGCUAAACGUAUCACCGAAGCUGCGGACUGUUCUUACGAACAGUGGUAGGAGAGCGUUCUAAGGGCGUUGAAGCUAGACCGGAAGGACUGGUGGAGCGCUUAGAAGUGAGAAUGCCGGUAUGAGUAGCGAAAGAAGGGUGAGAAUCCCUUCCACCGAAUGCCUAAGGUUUCCUGAGGAAGGCUCGUCCGCUCAGGGUUAGUCGGGACCUAAGCCGAGGCCGAAAGGCGUAGGCGAUGGAUAACAGGUUGAUAUUCCUGUACCACCUCCACUCCGUUUGAGCAAUGGGGGGACGCAGAAGGAUAGGGUAAGCGCACUGUUGGAUAUGUGCGUCUAAGCAGCAAGGCUGAGAAGUAGGCAAAUCCGCUUCUC
rnacentral:rRNA from 1 species